GAUGAAGAACGCAGCAAAAUGCGAUAAGUAAUGUGAAUUGCAGAAUUCAGUGAAUCAUCGAAUCUUUGAACGCACAUUGCGCCCGCUGGUAUUCCGGCGGGCAUGCCUGUUCGAGCGUCAUUUGAACCCUCAAGCCCCCGGGUUUGGUGUUGGGGAUCGGCUCUGCCCUUCUGGGCGGUGCCGCCCCCGAAAUACAUUGGCGGUCUCGCUGCAGCCUCCAUUGCGUAGUAGCUAACACCUCGCAACUGGAACGCGGCGCGGCCAUGCCGUAAAACCCCAACUUCUGAAUGUUGACCUCGGAUCAGGUAGGAAUACCCGCUGAACUUAAGCAUAUCAAUAAGCGGAGGA
rnacentral:misc_RNA from 1 species